rnacentral:rRNA from 1 species
CCUACGGGUGGCAGCAGUAGGGAAUCUUCCACAAUGGUCGAAAGCCUGAUGGAGCCACGCCGCGUGGGUGAAGAAGGUCUUCGGAUCGUAAAACCCUGUUGUUAGAGGAGCAAGUGCUUGAGCGUACCUGUUCACGUUUCUACGUUAUCUACCCAGAACGCCACGCCUACCUCCGUCCCAGCCGCCGCUGUAAUACGUAGGUGGCAAGCGUUAUCCGGAUUGAUUGGGCGUAAGGGGAACGCAGGCGGUCUUUUAAGUCUGAUGUGACAGCCUUCGGCUUCACCUGAGUAGGGCAUUGGAAACUGGGGGACGUGAUGGGAGAAGAGGAGGGGGGAACUCCAUGUG